rnacentral:rRNA from 1 species
UAAGGUUAAGUUAAUAAGGGCGCACGGUGGAUGCCUUGGCACUAGAAGCCGAAGAAGGACGUGACUAACGACGAAAUGCUUUGGGGAGCUGUAAGUAAGCGCUGAUCCAGAGAUGUCCGAAUGGGGGAACCCACUAGUUAAUGACUAGUAUCCAUAUCUGUUAAGGAUAUGAGAAGGAAGACGCAGUGAACUGAAACAUCUAAGUAGCUGCAGGAAGAGAAAGCAAAAGCGAUUGCCUUAGUAGCGGCGAGCGAAACGGCAGGAGGGCAAACCGAAGUGUUUACACUUCGGGGUUGUAGGACUGCGAUAUAGGAUUAAUCAUUAUAGAAGAAUUACCUGGGAAGGUAAGCCAAAGAGAGUAACAGCCUCGUAUUUAAAAUGAUAGAUUAACCUUAGCAGUAUCCUGAGUACGGCGAGACACGCGAAAUCUCGUCGGAAUCUGGGAGGACCAUCUCCCAACCCUAAAUACUCUCUAGUGACCGAUAGUGAACCAGUACCGUGAGGGAAAGGUGAAAAGCACCCCGGGAGGGGAGUGAAAUAGAACCUGAAACCGUGUGCCUACAACAAGUUCGAGCCCGUUAAUGGGUGAGAGCGUGCCUUUUGUAGAAUGAACCGGCGAGUUACGAUAUGAUGCGAGGUUAAGUUGAAGAGACGGAGCCGUAGGGAAACCGAGUCUUAAUAGGGCGUCAUAGUAUCAUGUUGUAGACCCGAAACCAUGUGACCUACCCAUGAGCAGGUUGAAGGUGAGGUAAAACUCACUGGAGGACCGAACCAGGGCACGUUGAAAAGUGCUUGGAUGACUUGUGGGUAGCGGAGAAAUUCCAAACGAACUUGGAGAUAGCUGGUUCUCUCCGAAAUAGCUUUAGGGCUAGCGUCGAUGUUAAGUCUCUUGGAGGUAGAGCACUGUUUGGGUGAGGGGUCCAUCCCGGAUUACCAAUCUCAGAUAAACUCCGAAUGCCAACGAGAUAUAAUCGGCAGUCAGACUGCGAG